GGGAAGACUGUGCAUGAAAGGCAGAGAUACAACUUACAGCACUGCCUCGUGGCCUCUGUGACUGAAUCAGAUGUUGAAUCACUGCGGAAAUACCCCAGGCACCCAGGAUUUCUGAUGGUUGGUGAGUUCCUGUGUGCUUUCAGGAAAAGGGCACCUGUGUUUGGGCACAUGGAUUGUUCAGGAGCCAAAACAGGCUGAUCUUGAGAGGGUCUGCACUGCCACCAGCCCAUAUUACUCAACAGAGGUAUGUUAUAGUUUGAACGAAGACACUCACGUAUCCAUCUAAUUUCCGGAAGAUCUUGAUUGUGAAGGACUGUUUG